rnacentral:misc_RNA from 1 species
GAAAUGCGAUAAUUAAUGUGAAUUGCAGAAUUCAGUGAAUCAUCUAGUCUUUGAACGCACAUUGCGCCCCCUGGUAUUCCGGGGGGCAUGCCUGUCCGAGCGUCAUUGCUGCCCUCAAGCACGGCUUGUGUGUUGGGCUUCCGUCCCUGGCAACGGGGACGGGCCCAAAAGGCAGUGGCGGCACCAUGUCUGGUCCUCGAGCGUAUGGGGCUUUGUCACCCGCUCCCGUAGGUCCAGCUGGCAGCUAGCCUCGCAACCAAUCUUUUUAACCAGGUUGACCUCGGAUCAGGUAGGGAUACCCGCUGAACUUAAGC